CCUACGGGGCGCAGCAGUGAGGAAUAUUGGUCAAUGGACGAGAGUCUGAACCAGCCAAGUAGCGUGAAGGAUGACUGCCCUAUGGGUUGUAAACUUCUUUUAUAUGGGAAUAAAAUGUUCCACGUGUGGGAUUUUGUAUGUACCAUAUGAAUAAGGAUCGGCUAACUCCGUGCCAGCAGCCGCGGUAAUACGGAAGAUCCGAGCGUUAUCCGGAUUUAUUGGGUUUAAAGGGAGCGUAGGUGGAUUGUUAAGUCAGUUGUGAAAGUUUGCGGCUCAACCGUAAAAUUGCAGUUGAAACUGGCAGUCUUGAGUACAGUAGAGGUGAGCGGAAUUCGUGGUGUAGCGGUGAAAUGCUUAGAUAUCACGAAGAACUCCGAUUGCGAAGGCAGUUCACUGGACUGCAACUGACACUGAGGCUCGAAAGUGUGGGUAUCAAACAGGAUUAGAUACCCGAGUAGUC
rnacentral:rRNA from 1 species